rnacentral:rRNA from 1 species
AUUGAACGCUGGCGGCAGGCCUAACACAUGCAAGUCGAGCGGAUGAAGGGAGCUUGCUCCUGGAUUCAGCGGCGGACGGGUGAGUAAUGCCUAGGAAUCUGCCUGGUAGUGGGGGAUAACGUCCGGAAACGGGCGCUAAUACCGCAUACGUCCUGAGGGAGAAAGUGGGGGAUCUUCGGACCUCACGCUAUCAGAUGAGCCUAGGUCGGAUUAGCUAGUUGGUGGGGUAAAGGCCUACCAAGGCGACGAUCCGUAACUGGUCUGAGAGGAUGAUCAGUCACACUGGGACUGAGACACGGUCCAGACUCCUACGGGAGGCAGCAGUGGGGAAUAUUGGACGAUGGGCGAAAGCCUGAUCCAGCCAUGCCGCGUGUGUGAAGAAGGUCUUCGGAUUGUAAAGCACUUUAAGUUGGGAGGAAGGGCAGUAAGUUAAUACCUUGCUGUUUUGACGUUACCAACAGAAUAAGCACCGGCUAACUUCGUG